ensembl:lncRNA
GUACUUCUCUACCUUACUCUUCCUCUGUAUUUCUCUCUCUCUCUCUCUCCCUCUCCCUCUGUACUUCUCUCUCUCUGCUUCUCUGGCCCCUGAAGUCCUGUGAUCACUGGAGUGUUUCUGUCUUCUGUGGCGUCUUCAUGCAGCGUGUGGGUGUCUGCUGUUGUGUGUGAGCUAAUGAGGAUGAAGGUUUUAAAAGCAUGACGGCGGCUGAUAAUAACUCAGCAUUGAUAAUGCAGCAUAAACACUACAGCAGCUGACAUGUCGACUACUCUGCCAAAACAUCAAACCCCAGAGCUGCUAGCCUACUGCAAUGGAGCCUAGAGGUCAUAGGGCUUACCACCACUACACCAUACCAACGCUACACCACACCACCGCUACACCAUACCAACGCUACACCACACCACCGCUACACCAUACCACCGCUACACCACACCACCGCUACACCAUACCAACGCUACACCACACCACCGCUACACCACACCACCGCUACACCAUACCAACGCUACACCACACCACCGCUACACCACACCACCGCUACACCAUACCAACGCUACACCACACCACCGCUACACCACACCACCGCUACACCACCUCUACACCACCUCUACACCACACCACCGCUACACCAUACCACCGCUACACCACACCACCGCUACACCACCUCUACACCACACCAUCGCUACACCACACCACCGCUACACCACACCACCUCUACACCAUACCAUCGCUCCACCAUACCACCGCUACACCAUACCACUGCUUUAAGACAUACUGCUGCACAAUUACUCCUUUAACGUAAUGUCACGUAAUGUACAGUACAGUACAGCUGGUUUAAAUGAGAGGUAAUAACACACUGCUGGUUUAAAUGAGAGGUAAUAACACACUGCUGGUUUAAAUGAGAGGCAGUAACACACACUGCUGGUUUAAAUGAGAGGCAGAAACACACACUGCUGGUUUAAAUGAGAGGCAGUCACACACUGCUGGUUUAAAUGAGAGGCAGAACACACUGCUGGUUUGAGGCAGAGAGGCAGUCACACACUGCUGGUUUAAAUGAGAGGUAGUCACACACUGCUGGUUUGAGGCAGAGAAGCAGUAACACACACUGCUGGUUGAAAUGAG